rnacentral:rRNA from 1 species
ACGGGAGGCAGCAGUGGGGAAUAUUGCACAAUGGGGGAAACCCUGAUGCAGCGACGCCGCGUGAGUGAAGAAGUAUUUCGGUAUGUAAAGCUCUAUCAGUAGGGAAGAAAAUGACGGUACCUAACUAAGAAGCCCCGGCUAACUACGUGCCAGCAGCCGCGGUACUACGUAGGGGGCAAGCGUUAUCCGGAUUUACUGGGUGUAAAGGGAGCGCAGACGGCAAAGCAAGUCUGAUGUGAAAUGCGGGGGCUCAACCCCUGAACUGCAUUGGAAACUGUUUAGCUAGAGUGCAGGAGAGGUAAGUGGAAUUCCUAGUGUAGCGGUGAAAUGCGUAGAUAUUAGGAGGAACACCGGUGGCGAAGGCGGCUUACUGGACUGUAACUGACGUUGAGGCUCGAAAGCGUGGGGAGCAAACAGGAUUAGAUACCCUGGUA